UGAAAAUUUAAAUUUGCACCCAUACCCUUUCUCCUUUCUCUCUCUCACACACUCACAUCAGAUCAGACUCUCAUUCUCUCACGACUCACUCACUCUCAAGUCUCACCUAGGUCUGGCCGUCAUCAUCAAGCACGGCCGCACGGCGUCGGCGCACCACCACCACGCCACCACCGUCCACCAGACCAGUCCAGCCGCGCCUCACCCUAGAGGGUAUCACCUGUAACCCACUUGGUGGUCAUUGUGAGCUUUGUUAUCUUCUUCCAGACACCUGUCUCUCCUGUGAAUGCCAUGGGGACUGCUUUAGCUCCUGCCGGUGUUUUCCUCUAUUCAAGGGUGAAGCAAAUUAAACCAAAAACAGCUUAAUUUCACCUGUUUUAAAGCUUUCCCAAGCUGUUGAAUCAACUUCUCACCUCUUCUUCAAUUGUGCUGUCUCAUGGACAAUAUGGGAAAAGUGUCUCACUGGCUUGGUAUCCAACCUGUAUCACAUGAGGAAGGUACAUCCCACUUCAACCAGUUCCUGAGACAGUAUGAAGGAAGGGACAGAAAAAAUGUUGCAGGUCUGAUAUGGUUGGCUACGAUUUGGGUCAUUUUGAAUGGUAGAAAUAAUGUGAUCUUCAUAGAGAAAGAACCUGAUUUUUCGAAUGCCUUAGAAGUGAUUCAAUACAUGUCCUGGGGUUGGCUCAAAGCUAAAGUAAAAGGGUUUACCUAUUCGCUUUUUGAAUGGACUUCUAGUCCCCUGGUUUGUCUCGAAUCAAUCUGAGCUGGCAGUGUGAAUUUGGACCAAUUUUCUGCUUCUGCAACCCUCUUCUUGUCUUGUCUUUGGUGCUUAAUCUGGGCAGGUUUUGUGUUUGGCUCCAAUUUGAGAGGAUUGGUGGAUAGAGUCUCUUGUUUCUACAGGGAUGUCUUGACAGCAAAGUAGUACUAAAAUUAUGUAGUAACAAUCCAUCCUCUGCUGCUAGCUGGUAGUCUUUGUUUUGCUUUUGGCUGGUCCCUCUUUGUUUAUCUAGGAACUAGUCUAGGUGUUGUAUGUUUUGAUGCAGUAGCAUGUUUUUUUGGCCUUUUCUUUUUACUGUUUGAUUGUACUAUGGGUUAGAGUACCCCUUGGACUCUAUUCAAUUUAAUUCAUUGGCUUAUAAAAAAAAGGAUUUGUGCA